rnacentral:rRNA from 1 species
GACGAACGCUGGCGGCGUGCUUAACACAUGCAAGUCGAACGGAAAGGCCCUGCUUUUGUGGGGUGCUCGAGUGGCGAACGGGUGAGUAACACGUGAGUAACCUGCCCUUGACUUUGGGAUAACUUCAGGAAACUGGGGCUAAUACCGGAUAGGAGCUCCUGCUGCAUGGUGGGGGUUGGAAAGUUUCGGCGGUUGGGGAUGGACUCGCGGCUUAUCAGCUUGUUGGUGGGGUAGUGGCUUACCAAGGCUUUGACGGGUAGCCGGCCUGAGAGGGUGACCGGACAAAUUGGGACUGAGAUACGGCCCAGACUACUACGGGAGGCAGCAGUGGGGAAUAUUGCACAAUGGGCGGAAGCCUGAUGCAGCAACGCCGCGUGCGGGAUGACGGCCUUCGGGUUGUAAACCGCUUUCGCCUGUGACGAAGCGUGAGUGACGGUAAUGGGUAAAGAAGCACCGGCUAACUACGUG